rnacentral:rRNA from 1 species
UAGGGAAUCUUCGGCAAUGGGGGGAACCCUGACCGAGCAACGCCGCGUGAGUGAAGAAGGUUUUCGGAUCGUAAAGCUCUGUUGUUAAGGAAGAACGAGUGUGAGAAUGGAAAGUUCAUACUGUGACGGUACUUAACCAGAAAGGGACGGCUAACUACGUGCCAGCAGCCGCGGUAAUACGUAGGUCCCGAGCGUUGUCCGGAUUUAUUUGGCGUAAAGCGAGCGCAGGCGGUUAGAUAAGUCUGAAGUUAAAGGCAGUGGCUCAACCAUUGUAGGCUUUGGAAACUGUUUAACUUGAGUGCAGAAGGGGAGAGUGGAAUUCCAUGUGUAGCGGUGAAAUGCGUAGAUAUAUGGAGGAACACCGGUGGCGAAAGCGGCUCUCUUGUCUGUAACUGACGCUGAGGCUCGAAAGCGUGGGGAGCGAACAGG